CGACCAUCCAGAGCGACCGAGAGACCUGGCUCGUUGACGUCGCAGCAACCCCCCGCCCUGCGGGUGCGGGUGCUACCGCCGGGAUCGAUGGAGG
rnacentral:ncRNA from 2 species